GUGUCAGCAGCCGCGGUAAUACGUAGGGGGCGAGCGUUACCCGGAUUUACUGGGCGUAAAGGGGGCGUAGGCGGCCGUGAAAGUCCGGUGUGAAAACUCACGGCUCAACCGUGGGACUGCGCUGGAAACUACACGGCUUGAGGACGGUAGAGGGAGACGGAACUGCUGGUGUAGGGGUGAAAUCCGUAGAUAUCAGCAGGAACGCCGGUGGAGAAGUCGGUCUCCUGGGCCGUUCCUGACGCUGAGGCCCGAAAGCUAGGGGAGCAAACCGGAUUAGAUACCCGGGUAGUCCUAGCCGUAAACGAUGCCCACUAGGUGUGGGGGAGUAAUUCCUCCGUGCUGAAGCUAACGCGAUAAGUGGGCCGCCUGGGGAGUAUGCCCGCAAGGGUGAAACUCAAAGGAAUUGACGGGG
rnacentral:rRNA from 1 species